GCGGUCUGCUUAACACAUGCAAGUCGAACGGAACUCUUCGGAGUUUAGUGGCGGACGGGUGAGUAACGCGUGAGAAUCUGCCUUCAGGUUGGGGACAACAGUUGGAAACGACUGCUAAUACCCAAUGUGCCGCGAGGUGAAAGCUUUAGUGCCUGAAGAUGAGCUCGCGUCUGAUUAGCUAGUUGGUGAGGUAAUGGCUUACCAAGGCGACGAUCAGUAGCUGGUCUGAGAGGAUGAUCAGCCACACUGGGACUGAGACACGGCCCAGACUCCUACGGGAGGCAGCAGUGGGGAAUUUUCCGCAAUGGGCGCAAGCCUGACGGAGCAAGACCGCGUGAGGGAGGAAGGCUCUUGGGUUGUAAACCUCUUUUAUCAGGGAAGAAGAUCUGACGGUACCUGAUGAAUCAGCAUCGGCUAACUCCGUGCCAGCAGCCGCGGUAAUACGGAGGAUGCAAGCGUUAUCCGGAUUUAUUGGGCGUAAAGCGUCCGCAGGUGGUUUUUCAAGUCUGCUGUUAAAGCGCAGAGCUUAACUCUGUAACGGCGGUGGAAACUGAGAGACUAGAGUAUGGUAGGGGUUGCGGGAAUUCCCAGUGUAGCGGUGAAAUGCGUAGAUAUUGGGAAGAACACCAGCGGCGAAAGCGCGCAACUGGGCCAUUACUGACACUCAUGGACGAAGCUAGGGGAGCGAAUGGGAUUAGAUGCCCCAGUAGUCCUAGCCGUAA
rnacentral:rRNA from 1 species